rnacentral:rRNA from 1 species
ACACGACUACAUUAGAUACCCCUGUAGUCCUAGCCGUAAACGAUACUCGCUAGGUGUCGGCCACGGUGCGACCGUUGUCGGUGCCGUGGGGAAGCCGUGAAGCGAGCCACCUGGGAAGUACGGCCGCAAGGCUGAAACUUAAAGGAAUUGGCGGGGGAGCACAACAACGGGUGGAGCUUGCGGUUUAAUUGGAUUCAACGCCGGAAAUCUUACCGGGACCGACAGCAACAUGAAGGCCAAGCUGAAGACUUUGCCGGAUUAGCUG